rnacentral:rRNA from 1 species
UACGGAGGGUGCGAGCGUUGUCCGGAAUCACUGGGCGUAAAGGGCGCGUAGGCGGUCCCUUAAGCGUGUGGUGAAAGCUCAGGGCUCAACCCUGAGUCGGCCAUGCGAACUGGGGGACUUGAGCACGGUAGAGGCCAAUGGAAUUCCGGGUGUAGCGGUGGAAUGCGUAGAGAUCCGGAAGAACACCGGUGGCGAAGGCGGUUGGCUGGGCCGUGGCUGACGCUGAGGCGCGACAGCGGUGGGGAGCAAACGAGGAUUGAGAUACCCGG